rnacentral:rRNA from 1 species
GAUGAACGCUGGCGGCGUGCCUAAUACAUGCAAGUCGAGCGAACAGACGAGGAGCUUGCUCCUCUGACGUUAGCGGCGGACGGGUGAGUAACACGUGGAUAACCUACCUAUAAGACUGGGAUAACUUCGGGAAACCGGAGCUAAUACCGGAUAAUAUAUUGAACCGCAUGGUUCAAUAGUGAAAGAGGGUUUUGCUGUCACUUAUAGCUGGAUCCGCGCCGCCUUAGCUAGUUGGUAAGGUAACGGCGUACCAAGGCGACGAUGCGUAGCCGACCUGAGAGGGUGAUCGGCCACACUGGAACUGAGACACGGUCCAGACUCCUACGGGAGGCAGCAGUAGGGAAUCUUCCGCAAUGGGCGAAAGCCUGACGGAGCAACGCCGCGUGAGUGAUGAAGGUCUUCGGAUCGUAAAACUCUGUUAUUAGGGAAGAACAAAUGUGUAAGUAACUAUGCACGUCUUGACGGUACCUAAUCAGAAAGCCACGGCUAACUACGUG